rnacentral:rRNA from 1 species
GCAUGCCUGUUCGAGCGUCAUUUCAACCCUCAAGCACCGCUUGGCGUUGGGGCUUCCACGGCUGACGUGGGCCCUCAAAGACAGUGGCGGACCCUCGCGGAGCCUCCUUUGCGUAGUAACAUACCACCUCGCACCGGGACCCGCAGGGCACUCCUGCCGUAAAACCCCCCAAUUUUAACAAGGUUGACCUCGGAUCAGGUAGGAAUACCCGCUGAACUUAAGCAUAUCAAUAAGCGGAGGAAAAGAAACCAACAGGGAUUGCCCCAGUAACGGCGAGUGAAGCGGCAACAGCUCAAAUUUGAAAUCUNGCCCCCAGGGCCCGAGUUGUAAUUUGCAGAGGAUGCUUUGGGCGCGGUGCCUUCCGAGUUCCCUGGAACGGGACGCCAUAGAGGGUGAGAGCCCCGUACGGUUGGACACCAAGCCUGUGUAAAGCUCCUUCGACGAGUCGAGUAGUUUGGGAAUGCUGCUCAAAAUGGGAGGUAUAUUUCUUCUAAAGCUAAAUAUUGGCCAGAGACCGAUAGCGCACAAGUAGAGUGAUCGAAAGAUGAAAAGCACUUUGAAAAGAGGGUUAAACAGCACGUGAAAUUGUUAAAAGGGAAGCGCUUGUGACCAGACUUGCGCCCGGCGGAUCACCGGCUCUCGCGGCCGGGGCACUCCGCCGGCUCAGGCCAGCAUCAGCUCGCUGUCGGGGACAAAAGCUUCGGGAACGUGGCUCCUCCGGGGAGUGUUAUAGCCCGUUGCACAAUACCUUCGGUGGGCUGAGGUACGCCGUCCGCAAGGAUGCUGGCGUAAUGGUCAUCAGCGACCCGUCUUGAAACACGGACCAAGGAGUCAACCUUAUAUGCGAGUGUUCGGGUGUCAAACCCCUACGCGUAAUGAAAGU